UGAACGCUGGCGGUAUGCCUAACACAUGCAAGUCGUACGAGAGUUUUUAACUCUAGUGGCGGACGGGUGAGUAACACGUGAGAAUUUACCUUUAGGAGGGGGAUAACAAUCGGAAACGAAUGCUAAUACCCCAUAUGCUUUCGAGUGAAAUGGAUUUAUAUUUAUCCGCCUAGAGAAAAGCUCGCGGCUGAUUAGCUAGUUGGUAGGGUAAUGGCCUACCAAGGCGACGAUCAGUAUCUGGUUUGAGAGGACGAUCAGACACACUGGAACUGAGACACGGUCCAGACUCCUACGGGAGGCAGCAGUGGGGAAUUUUCCGCAAUGGGCGAAAGCCUGACGGAGCAAUACCGCGUGAGGGAAGACUGCCUAUGGGUUGUAAACCUCUUUUUUCAGGGAGGAAUAAAAUGACGUGUACCUGAAGAAUAAGCAUCGGCUAACUCC
rnacentral:rRNA from 1 species